rnacentral:lncRNA from 1 species
UUUGUCCAUACAAAUUUAAGUCAGUGGGGUCUAAUAUGCCAUUUAUCCUGUCAGUCUGUCACAGAGUCGUCUCAGUUUAACUGCCAUCACCAACCUGUCAACAGCGCUGGCUGAGGGACGGACGAUAACGCUGGAUCUUUCACAUUCCACACUGAAAAAAGAGUCGGUCAAAACCCUCUGCCAUGCACUCACGCUCUCCACGCUGGAGUCGCUCAACUUGUGUGGAUGCUCAUUGACUACAGCUGAUUGUGAAGCUCUGGCUCAGAUGCUCUCUGGAGGCUCACGGCUGCGUGUGCUCAAUCUGUGUGGGAAUAAUCUGGAGGAUCAAGGCCUUAUUCACCUCAGCAGUGCCCUGGAAAACUGCAGACUACAAGAAAUCAAGUACACUUGCACUAUUCAUAUAUCAGUCAGUCUUUUUGGAAACAUAGAAUUGAAAGCCAUGUGGUAAGUUAACUGCUGUUUUGUUGUAUUCUACAGUCUGGAUUUAUGCUCACUGACGGCGGCAUCCAUGCCUGCGCUGUCUUCAGCUCUGAACAGCGGCUUUUCAGAGCUGAGGAAGCUAAGCCUGAGCCGGAACGCAGUGAUGGAUGAUGGGAUAGAGCUGAUCUCACGAGUGUUACAGAAAGGCAGCCUCAACACAUUGAAGUAAUACACACAUACUCUGUUUAGGUGACCAACACAAAUGCCUAAAAACCACC